rnacentral:lncRNA from 1 species
CCUCUGUGUGCUCAGCACCCAUGGUUGGAAUGAACAGAAUAUGUAAGGAUAUCUUCAUAUUUAUACCUAGAGGAGGUGAAGGGAGAGAGGCACGAGGCAGGAGCAGGCAGGGCAUGACGCAAAGUAGGGUGGCCCUGGAACAAAAAUUACACCCACGGCACUCAGGCUAAUAAGUAAAUAAAACAGCUCAUCAAAUUGCCACGAAAUCUCUAACACCCAACACGGUCCUGGCACAGAGUAGGUGAUUUAUCAAUGUUUCAUGAACAGGUGAAUAAACAAAUGAACGAAUGACUGGACCAGCUUGUAAGAACUUUCUUUUCUACCUACAGGAAGCUGCAAGUCUGCAUUGGAACUUACAGGGACGCAAUGAGAAGCCACACUCUUUGAGCAGCCACUGGGACCCAAGUGCUCACUCAGCAGACUGUGAGUUCCAGGCAAUGAAGAACCACGCCCUGCUUGUACCCACCGCGACGCGCACUCGCAUGCCUGCAGGAGCUCUAGAGGACGUCUACCGGAUCUACCCCGAGGCGCUGCUUCAAGCCCGUGGGUCCCGCAAAGGCCGUGCGGCCCCAAGGCAGGGCCGUGCGUGCCUCGGCUUGCACGGGACUCGCCCGUGGUGAGCUCGAGAAGCGCGUUCUGCACAGCUCCCGAGUGCACGCACCGGGGGCGCGGGCAUGUUCUGAGCAGGGCGCCCGGAGGAGACCCGAGCGCGGGGGCUGCGGCCUGGUGAGAGCUCGCGAGGGGCGGAGCGGAGCCGGGGCCGCGUCUGGGAAACCGGGGGCCAGCGUGGACGUGCAGACCCCCAGGCCGCCUGGCUGCCCCCACUUCUUAGCACGCGCCUUCUCGGGCCCUGGAAGGGCGCUCCCUGGCUUGGGGCCAGCUGGAAGGCCCAACGGGGAAUGCGCUAAACACGGCGGGUUUCCAGGCGUUUCUUAGGCUGAAACCGUUCCCAGAAGCGAAGAUGAUGAAGGCUUCAUUUGUUAAGCAUAAAAAUAAAAACACUUUACGAAGGGUUUUAAGACAAAUCUUUUCUACCUAAUUCUUUUUC